rnacentral:rRNA from 1 species
UUUAUGGAGAGUUUGAUCCUGGCUCAGGAUGAACGCUGGCGGCGUGCCUAAUACAUGCAAGUCGAGCGAACGGACGAGAAGCUUGCUUCUCUGAUGUUAGCGGCGGACGGGUGAGUAACACGUGGAUAACCUACCUAUAAGACUGGGAUAACUUCGGGAAACCGGAGCUAAUACCGGAUAAUAUUUUGAACCGCAUGGUUCAAAAGUGAAAGACGGUCUUGCUGUCACUUAUAGAUGGAUCCGCGCUGCAUUAGCUAGUUGGUAAGGCAACGGCUUACCAAGGCAACGAUGCAUAGCCGACCUGAGAGGGUGAUCGGCCACACUGGAACUGAGACACGGUCCAGACUCCUACGGGAGGCAGCAGUAGGGAAUCUUCCGCAAUGGGCGAAAGCCUGACGGAGCAACGCCGCGUGAGUGAUGAAGGUCUUCGGAUCGUAAAACUCUGUUAUUAGGGAAGAACAUAUGUGUAAGUAACUGUGCACAUCUUGACGGUACCUAAUCAGAAAGCCACGGCUAACUACGUGCCAGCAGCCGCGGUAAUACGUAGGUGGCAAGCGUUAUCCGGAAUUAUUGGGCGUAAAGCGCGCGUAGGCGGUUUUUUAAGUCUGAUGUGAAAGCCCACGGCUCAACCGUGGAGGGUCAUUGGAAACUGGAAAACUUGAGUGCAGAAGAGGAAAGUGGAAUUCCAUGUGUAGCGGUGAAAUGCGCAGAGAUAUGGAGGAACACCAGUGGCGAAGGCGACUUUCUGGUCUGUAACUGACGCUGAUGUGCGAAAGCGUGGGGAUCAAACAGGAUUAGAUACCCUGGUAGUCCACGCCGUAAACGAUGAGUGCUAAGUGUUAGGGGGUUUCCGCCCCUUAGUGCUGCAGCUAACGCAUUAAGCACUCCGCCUGGGGAGUACGACCGCAAGGUUGAAACUCAAAGGAAUUGACGGGGACCCGCACAAGCGGUGGAGCAUGUGGUUUAAUUCGAAGCAACGCGAAGAACCUUACCAAAUCUUGACAUCCUUUGACAACUCUAGAGAUAGAGCCUUCCCCUUCGGGGGACAAAGUGACAGGUGGUGCAUGGUUGUCGUCAGCUCGUGUCGUGAGAUGUUGGGUUAAGUCCCGCAACGAGCGCAACCCUUAAGCUUAGUUGCCAUCAUUAAGUUGGGCACUCUAAGUUGACUGCCGGUGACAAACCGGAGGAAGGUGGGGAUGACGUCAAAUCAUCAUGCCCCUUAUGAUUUGGGCUACACACGUGCUACAAUGGACAAUACAAAGGGCAGCGAAACCGCGAAGUCAAGCAAAUCCCAUAAAGUUGUUCUCAGUUCGGAUUGUAGUCUGCAACUCGACUACAUGAAGCUGGAAUCGCUAGUAAUCGUAGAUCAGCAUGCUACGGUGAAUACGUUCCCGGGUCUUGUACACACCGCCCGUCACACCACGAGAGUUUGUAACACCCGAAGCCGGUGGAGUAACCUUUUAGGAGCUAGCCGUCGAAGGUGGGACAAAUGAUUGGGGUGAAGUCGUAACAAGGUAGCCGUAUCGGAAGGUGCGGCUGGAUCACCUCCUUUCU